ensembl:lncRNA
AGCUCAUCCUCGUGCCUGUGUUCGAGGCUGGAGUGGUUGGUUGUGUAGAUUUUUCUGAUGUGAAGAAGGACUUCAUGACCAGCUGGAAAGCUCCACUGCAUACUUAUGCUAUGGUUCGGAUUGUAAACAUACCAUGAAGACCACAUGGUAAAAAUUUGGUGUCCAGGCUGGGGUGCCACUGGAAGUUCCCAGUCUGGGAACAGGACUCCACCAUGCGCCCCUGCCAUGGACUGCCACCUCGCUACAGGCCCAAGACCAACAGAGCAACCAACCAUGGACUGAAACCUCCAAAACCCAGAGCCA